rnacentral:rRNA from 1 species
GCAAGCUACUGAGGGCACAUGGUGGAUGCCUUGGCAUCGAGAGCCGAUGAAGGACGUAGGAGUCUGCGAUAAGCCCCGGGGAGUUGACAACCGAGCUGUGAUCCGGGGGUGUCCGAAUGGGGAAACCCGGCCAGAGGAGUGUCUGGUCACCGUCGCCUGAAUAUAUAGGGCGUUCGGAGGGAACGUGGGGAAGUGAAACAUCUCAGUACCCACAGGAAGAGAAAACAAUUGUGAUUCCGUGAGUAGUGGCGAGCGAAAGCGGAUGAGGCUAAACCGUGCAGAUGUUCAAGACGGCAGUCGUUGUCUGUGCGGGGUCGUGGGAGCACGUGGCUGGUUCUGCCGAGCUGGCGAGAAGUGAUCAAGUUCUGGUGAAGUCGAAGGGCCUGGAAUGGUCUGGCGUAGAGGGUGAGACCCCUGUAGACGUAAGCUGGAGCCUUCUGUGUGUUUUCCCGAGUAGUGCGUGACUCCUGGAAUUGCGCAUGAAUUUGGCGGGACCACCCGUUAAGCCUAAAUACUCCUCGAUGACCGAUAGCGGACCAGUACCGUGAGGGAAAGGUGAAAAGUACCCCGGGAGGGGAGUGAAAUAGUACCUGAAACCAUGUGCCUACAAUCCGUCGGAGCGAUCUCCUUGUGGGAUUGUGACGGCGUGCCUUUUGAAGAAUGAGCCUGCGAGUUAGUGGUACGUGGCGAGGUUAACCCGUGGUGGGGUAGCCGUAGCGAAAGCGAGUCCGAACAGGGCGUUGAGUCGCGUGCUCUAGACCCGAAGCGGGGUGAUCUAUCCAUGGGCAGGUUGAAGCGUGGGUAAGACUGCGUGGAGGACCGAACCCACUUAGGUUAAAAACUGAGGGGAUGACCUGUGGAUAGGGGUGAAAGGCCAAUCAAACUCCGUGAUAGCUGGUUCUCCCCGAAAUGCAUUUAGGUGCAGCGUCGUUUGUUUCUUGCCGGAGGUAGAGCACUGGAUGGUCUAGGGGGCCUACAAGCUUACCGAAAUCAACCAAACUCCGAAUGCCGGCAAGUGAGAGAGCGGCAGUGAGACUGCGGGGGAUAAGCUCCGUAGUCGAGAGGGAAACAGCCCAGACCAUCAGCUAAGGCCCCUAAGCGGUUGCUAAGUGGAAAAGGAUGUGGAGUCGCAGAGACAACCAGGAGGUUGGCUUAGAAGCAGCCACCCUUGAAAGAGUGCGUAAUAGCUCACUGGUCAAGUGAUUCUGCGCCGACAAUUUAGCGGGGCUCAAGCAACCCGCCGAAGCUAUGGCAUUCAUACGUGUACUCGGCCCACUCUUUGGGUGGGUCCAGGUGUGUGGAUGGGUAGGGGAGCGUCGUGUGGCGUGGGAAGCGGCGGGGUGACCCAGCCGUGGAUGCCACACGAGUGAGAAUGCAGGCAUGAGUAGCGAAUGAAGAGUGAGAAACUCUUCCGCCGAAUGACCAAGGGUUCCAGGGUCAAGCUAAUCUGCCCUGGGUAAGUCGGGACCUAAGGCGAGGCCGACAGGCGUAGUCGAUGGACAACGGGUUGAUAUUCCCGUACCGGCGUUGGUGCGCCCAUGCUGAAUCAGUGAUGCUAAGCGGGUGAUCUUCUGUUCCGGACCCUUCGGGGUCUGGUUCUUGGGAGUGAGCGUGUGAACCGAGCUGGUAGUAGGCAAGUGAUGGGGUGACGCAGGAAGGUAGCUCAUCGCGGCGAUGGUUGUCCGCGUGUAAGGAUGUAGGGCGACAGGUAGGUAAAUCCGUCUGUCAUGUGUCUGAGAUCCGAUGCCGAGCCGUUUGUGGUGAAGUGAGUGAUCCUAUGCUGUCGAGAAAAGCCUCUAGCGAGUACCAGAGCCGCCCGUACCCCAAACCGACACAGGUGGUCAGGUAGAGAAUACCGAGGCGAUCGAGAUAAUCGUGGUUAAGGAACUCGGCAAAAUGCCCCCGUAACUUCGGGAGAAGGGGGGCCGGAUCCGUGAACCCUUUGCUGGGGGAGCGGUGAAGGCCGCAGAGACCAGGCCCAAGCGACUGUUUACUAAAAACACAGGUCCGUGCGAAGAAGUAAUUCGAUGUAUACGGACUGACUCCUGCCCGGUGCUGGAAGGUUAAGGGGACGUGUUAGCGCUUCGUGUGCGAAGCACUGAACUUAAGCCCCAGUAAACGGCGGUGGUAACUAUAACCAUCCUAAGGUAGCGAAAUUCCUUGUCGGGUAAGUUCCGACCUGCACGAAUGGAGUAACGACUUGGGCGCUGUCUCAACCACGAGCUCGGCGAAAUUGCACUACGAGUAAAGAUGCUCGUUACGCGCGGCAGGACGGAAAGACCCCGGGACCUUCACUACAGCUUGGUAUUGGUGUUUGGUUCGGCUUGUGUAGGAUAGGUGGGAGACUGUGAAGCAGCCACGCCAGUGGUUGUGGAGUCGUUGUUGAAAUACCACUCUGGUCGUACUAGAUGUCUAACUUAGGUCCGUGAUCCGGAUCAGGGACAGUGCCUGGUGGGUAGUUUAACUGGGGCGGUUGCCUCCUAAAAUGUAACGGAGGCGCCCAAAGGUUCCCUCAGCCUGGUUGGCAAUCAGGUGUUGAGUGUAAGUGCACAAGGGAGCUUGACUGUGACACCGACGGGUGGAGCAGGGACGAAAGUCGGGACUAGUGACCCGGCGCUGGCAUGUGGAAGCGGCGUCGCUCAACGGAUAAAAGGUACCCCGGGGAUAACAGGCUGAUCUUCCCCAAGAGUCCAUAUCGACGGGAUGGUUUGGCACCUCGAUGUCGGCUCGUCGCAUCCUGGGGCUGGAGCAGGUCCCAAGGGUUGGGCUGUUCGCCCAUUAAAGCGGCACGCGAGCUGGGUUUAGAACGUCGUGAGACAGUUCGGUCCCUAUCCGCCGCGCGCGUAGGAAACUUGAGAAAGGCUGUCCCUAGUACGAGAGGACCGGGAUGGACGAACCUCUGGUGUGUCAGUUGUUCUGCCAAGAGCACGGCUGAUUAGCUACGUUCGGAAGUGAUAACCGCUGAAAGCAUCUAAGCGGGAAGCACGUUUCAAGAUGAGGUUUCCCACCCACCUUGGUGGGGUAAGGCCCCCAGGAGACGACUGGGUUGAUAGGCCGGAAGUGGAAGCGCAGCAAUGUGUGGAGCUGACCGGUACUAAUAGGCCGAGGGCUUGCUCACACA